rnacentral:rRNA from 1 species
UAGCUUUAAGAUUUCAUUUAAAGUUUUACCUGCCCGGUGGAAUUUCUUAACGGCCGCAGUACUUUGACUGUGCUAAGGUAGCAUAAUAAAUUGGCUUUUAAUUAAAGUCGGGUAUGAAAGGGAAUUUGGAAAAUAACUGUCUCAAAUAUACUUUAUUUUAAUUUAAUUAAUGAGUGAAAAUUCUCAUAUUUUAUUACAUUAGACGAGAAGACCCUAAGAGUUAUAAUUAAAAUGAAUUUAUUUCAUAUAUCAUUUUUGUUGGGGCAACAAAGACUGGAUAGAACCGUCAAAAAGUAAUUUUACAUAACCAAUAAUAUUUAAAAAGAAAUAAACUACCUUAGGGAUAACAGCAUAAUUAAUUUUUAGAUUGUGACCUCGAUGUUGGAUUAAGGACUUAGUUUACUAGCCGUAAACUAAGAUAGUUCUGUUCGAACUGUAGUACCUU